rnacentral:lncRNA from 1 species
UAUGAGUUUUCUGAGAGCAUCUCAUAUUUAGAACUUUUUCUCCUAUUUUUCAUCUUUGGAAGAGUCCAAAUCAAGAAGAAAAAGGUAUUUGAUCGUCCAUCGAAGAAGGAUCUGCACAGUACUAGCAUGCUGUGCUGAUUUUCUAUACCAGGACUUCUGAUCGUGAUUUGUGAGCUCGUGUGGAUGAUUUCUAGAGGCCGAAUGUAUAUGCGGCUCACAACAUCAUCUUUAAGCCCGGAUCAGCAAAGUUAGAAUGUCUAACUUGUAAGGUAAUAGAUCUG